UAAACGACUCUCGGCAACGGAUAUCUCGGCUCACGCAUCGAUGAAGAACGUAGCAAAAUGCGAUACUUGGUGUGAAUUGCAGAAUCCCGUGAACCAUCGAGUUUUUGAACGCAAGUUGCGCCCGAAGCCUUUUGGCCAAGGGCACGUCUGCCUGGGCGUCACGCA
rnacentral:rRNA from 1 species